GGUGUUGUGGUAUAGUUGGUUAUCACGUCAGUCUAACACACUGAAGGUCUUCGGUUCGAGUCCGGGCGACGCCA
rnacentral:tRNA from 1 species